UGCGCGGCGCCCGCCCUCCCUCAGCCAGAGCAGCUCGCCUGAGGCUGCUGAGGCGGCGGCCGGUGUAGUGGUCUCGGUACCUGUUCCAACCGCGGCUCGCGGGCCCGUGCCGGUCCCGGUCCCCGGCGCGGUCGUCCGAGCCCCUGCGGCGGGCGGGCGAUGGUGCGGCGGAGCGCGCGGACGCGGGCGGCGCGGCGGCGGGCAUGAAGGAGGAUGGAAGGGCAGGACGAGGUGUCGGCGCGGGAGCAGCACUUCCACAGCCAAGUGCGGGAGUCCACGAUAUGUUUCCUUCUUUUUGCCAUUCUCUAUGUUGUUUCCUACUUCAUCAUCACAAGAUACAAGAGAAAAUCAGAUGAACAGGAAGAUGAAGAUGCCAUCGUCAACAGGAUUUCGUUGUUUUUGAGCACGUUCACCCUCGCAGUGUCCGCUGGGGCUGUUUUGCUUUUGCCUUUCUCAAUAAUCAGCAAUGAAAUCCUGCUUUCUUUUCCCCACAACUACUAUAUUCAGUGGCUAAAUGGCUCCCUGAUUCAUGGUUUGUGGAAUCUUGCUUCCCUUUUUUCCAACCUUUGUUUAUUUGUAUUGAUGCCCUUUGCCUUUUUCUUUCUGGAAUCAGAAGGCUUUGCUGGCCUGAAAAAGGGAAUCCGGGCCCGCAUUUUAGAGACUCUGGUCAUGCUGCUGCUUCUUGCAUUGCUCAUUCUUGGGAUAGUGUGGGUGGCUUCAGCACUCAUUGACAAUGAUGCUGCAAGCAUGGAAUCUUUAUAUGAUCUCUGGGAGUUCUAUCUACCCUAUUUAUAUUCCUGUAUAUCAUUGAUGGGAUGUUUGUUACUUCUCUUGUGUACACCAGUUGGCCUUUCUCGUAUGUUCACAGUGAUGGGUCAGUUGCUAGUGAAGCCAACAAUUCUUGAAGACCUGGAUGAACAGAUUUAUAUCAUUACCUUAGAGGAAGAAGCACUCCAGAGACGACUAAAUGUAAAGUACCUGAUUUGGAUUUGCGGAUUUCCCCGGUUAGAUGAGACUGGCAGAACUGCUCAGCAGAGUUCUUGGCUGUCCAUGAAACUCACAGGGCUGUCUUCAUCGGUGGAAUACAACAUAAUGGAGUUGGAACAAGAACUUGAAAAUGUAAAGACUCUUAAGACAAAAUUAGAGAGGCGAAAAAAGGCUUCAGCAUGGGAAAGAAAUUUGGUGUAUCCCGCUGUUAUGGUUCUCCUUCUUAUUGAGACAUCCAUCUCGGUCCUCUUGGUGGCUUGUAAUAUUCUUUGCCUAUUGGUUGAUGAAACAGCAAUGCCAAAAGGAACAAGGGGGCCUGGAAUAGGAAAUGCCUCUCUUUCUACGUUUGGUUUUGUGGGAGCUGCACUUGAAAUCAUUUUGAUUUUCUAUCUUAUGGUGUCCUCUGUUGUCGGUUUCUAUAGCCUUCGAUUUUUUGGAAACUUUACUCCCAAGAAAGAUGACACAACUAUGACAAAGAUCAUUGGAAAUUGUGUGUCCAUCUUGGUCUUGAGCUCUGCUCUGCCUGUGAUGUCGAGAACACUGGGAAUCACUAGAUUUGAUCUACUUGGCGACUUUGGAAGGUUUAAUUGGCUGGGAAAUUUCUAUAUUGUAUUAUCCUACAAUUUGCUUUUUGCUAUUGUGACAACAUUGUGUCUGGUCCGAAAAUUCACCUCUGCAGUUCGAGAAGAGCUUUUCAAGGCCCUAGGGCUUCAUAAACUUCAUUUAUCAAAUACUUCAAGGGAUUCAGAAACAGCCAAGCCUUCUGUAAAUGGGCAUCAGAAAGCACUGUGAGAUGCACAGACGGCGUCUUCUACAACCAAGAGACCUGAGAACUCCAGACUCAUGACAUUCCUGUCCCAUGUAGAAGCAUUUCCAUUUCAACCUUGGCUCCUCUUCAGAACCUAGACCUAUCAGUGCCAUUUUUUUUCAUAGUCUACGAAGAACUUGGCUAUGGCUGACCUUUUUUUAAAUUUAACUUUCUGAUAGACCCUGUAGUUUCCAGUUAAAUGCAGAUUCCUUAGAGCCGUAUAGAACAGCGCAUUCUUCUGUAGACAUUUUCUCAUAUCGGUAAAUACAGUCAUCCAUAUGAAAAAAAUUGUUUUCACCUGAUAUCAAAAUGUUAGAAAAGGCAGACUCUGGGACUUCUAAAGAUUUACUUAAAUCCCAUGAUAUACUUUAUUCAGAAUGUAGAAGCCGACCUGAAAUGCAUCCUUGGUACUAAGUGAAGCUUCUUCAGAAAAUGCAUUUUUCAAAUGCAAUAGGAACUAUUUGUAGAUAUCAUUAUUGCAGUGUGCGUUGGAGCUGUAAUGGUUGCAGUUAUGUUUCUUAUUUCCCUAAAAGCAAAAAGCAUAGUUUCUGAUUUAUGUUUCAGAAUGAUACUGAUUAGACUUUGAGCCAAGACGAAAAUACUAAAUUCUUUUAAACCUGGAGCCUUAGAGAGCCACAGGAAUAUCUUCUGUUGUACAGUCUAAUAAGCUAUGGUAGGAAGUAUCAUGUAAUCACAGUUUAAUGACAGUUUAUGUAUAUGAUUCAGUAUUACCUCUGAUAACAUAGUUGCCAGUGUUUAAUACACUUGUAACUUGGAUUUUUGCCUUAUAGGCUAUAUGUAUACGCAGUUUUUUAAAGCAUUUUUUUCAAAGAUCACUUAAUUCCCCGUGCUUCUGUAAUGCUUAUGAAAACUAUAAAUGGCGAGUGGUGGAAACUCCUUCUUUCCUCAUAGUCCUCGGGCUCUGGUUACUUUUGCAUAUGCCAUUUGAAGCCUCCAACUUUUACCAGUUUAACAUCCAAAGUUCACAGCAUCACCAUUCAUGGUGUAAGAACAGUUUUGCAGUAUAACACGAUCUGAUAAUCAUUCAGUUAUUCAAUUGUAAAUAAUUACUGGGAUGGUUUCUUGGCUUUACUGAAUAAAAUCUAUGAAAUUGUACUCUGUGUUAACCACCCACUAGGAUAGAAUGCCGGAAACUGUGCAUGCAAAAAUACGAGAUGGGUCCAUUUGUACACAAUUCGUAGUUAUGCAAUCUACUAUAUAAAUAUGUUCACAUGCACUAUGUGUAUGAAAAUAGAUUGUCUGUGUUCAGACGAAAGUAAAACAUUUUUUUCAAAUUGUUAAAUUUAAAGGUUUUCUGGGAGAAAUUUAUGAAAAACAGGCUGUGUCUAUUUGACAUCAGAAAUUUCCACUUAAACCAAAAUAAUGAGAAACUUUAUUCUGUAUAUUUAUAACCUUCGUUGAGUAUACUUCCCCCUUAUUUAUACCUCUGCAUUUCCUUCUGCGCUUCACAUCUUUCUAAAAUGCAGCUUGGUUUUAAAAUAAAAGAACAUUCAUUUUGUGAUUCUAAACAACCUUCAGUAAAUACCACCAGUAUGGUACUGGUGAAUUUCUCAGCAUAAAAUCGACGUACCUAAAAAGUUAAUAAAAUUCAGCUCUUUUCCAAUUUCAUUGUUACGCCUAUUGAAGUAUUAAUAGCAAGGUUUCAUUUUUCAUGAAACUUGGAAUCCGUACUUUGAGCAGACUAAGUCAAGGGAAGAACAGAAAGAAACUCAGGAGUAGAGUAAUGUCAUUUUUCGCUUACACCACUUUCAGGGCACAUCCAAAGAGUUCCUAGAUACUUGUAAAAUGUCUGAAAAAUUUUAAGUAAUAAACUUUUCAAUGUUUAGCUCAACUUUUUGUUCAUUUGGAAGUUUCUCUCCAUCCAAGGACUUAAGCCAGUUUUGGAUUUGUAAGCCCAGAGUACAGUACACUUCCUGGAGGCAUCGUCACUGCUGUUGAAACAAAGAAUGUGCAUGGGGUGGAAGGACGGCUUUGAACCUCUGGACUCAGCCUUGAGAACAAAUACAGAUUGUUACAGCCCUGGGCUGCUGCGUAAUCACAGUUCCUCAGCCUCUUCCAGAGCACAUGCCCAAGCUCUGCCUCUCCAGAGACUGACUCCAAAUGCAGGUGCUUCCGCUGGACCUAGGUUGGAGGCUGCUUUAUAUGACAGACUCCAGAAAUGGAUGCCAGAAUACAGAGGCCAAACGUUCUGAGUCCUGGACUGAACAGCACCUACUUGUGGUGUGGGCAGCUUAUCCCAGCGUUCUUGGAAGAAUAAAUGUUGUUAGCAUCUGGUUAAUUUACUGGCAGACAGAGACCUACUCGUCAGUGGCUUUCAACUCUUUGACCACAGUUAACUAUAAUCAAAUAGGAACUUCAGACAAAACCUCAUUAUUCUUGGAUAUGGUGUUCUGCUGUUACUUCUAAAAGUGCUACAGAAGUCAAGUUCCCGAGCCUGGAUUAAGAACAACAGGGCGGCCCUGAUGUUGUGAGUGGCUGUAGAGGACCAGAGUGAUGUAGGAGAAUCUAUCGUGUGUGAGCGUGAGGAGGUGCAGAGUCACCUGUGGGCUAUGCAUCUGAGAACUGAAGUUUUAUCACUUAACUAAAACCGUUUUGUGGCUGUUGUAAUAUUUUCUCCUUUGCUUUCCUUUCCUUUGAAAAGCUGUUAUUGGAUGAACGAUGCUGCUUACAAACACUGACGCUUCAGAACCAAGCACAUUUGUUACUGCUGUAGUUAUAGUGAUUCUGCAGCUUUUCUUUUACAGCAUCUUGAAGUCAUCCACAGUUGUUCUGUGUGGACUUCACAGUAGAAUCAGAGAACUAAGUGACAAGUGGAGCGUCGUCCUUCUCCUGCUGCGCACUUCCUCCUCACCACCUCUCUAGCCUAGCUUUCCUUCAGUCUGAAGAGUGAUUUACUUUUUCUUUUCUUUUUAGUCUUUACUGUGGAAUCUCAUCAAAGACUUGGAAGCAGGGAUGGUGAGAGGGGCCUGGGGUGUAGUGUGGAGGGUCGAGUGCUCUGUGAUCCCACAGUCACCCCCAGGACCACCUUGCAAAGCAGAAAAUACACACCUGUAUUUUACAGAUAAGGAACGCCACUCAGAAAGCUGCAGACAUUUUCCUGGGGUCACACUCAUAGUGGGCAGAUGAACUGGAUGGAAAUACAGGCCAGUACAACCGCAGUCUCAUUUUUUCUUUGUUUUAGGUUUUCAGUUUCUUUUUCAGUCAUGUACCCUACAGUUCUAUUAUCUUGUUGGUAAAGAUUGAUGACAGGUAUCCUCAUUCUAGAUUAUAACCUUUAUUCUUAUCAAAUGCCUCCAGUCCCACAAUUCUCUAAGAAUUCUCUUUCUGGACUUGAUACUGAUUUAAUGAUUUCCCCCAGCUCAUGGAAUGGCAGGCUCCUAAUUAAGUGGAUUUAAAGGCAAAAAGGGAUGUGUGAGAAGGCACAAGAAGUGGCUUCAUCUUGCAAGGUGACUACCAGACAACUGGGUUACAACCUGUUAAAAUAAGGGAGGAACGGCCGCAUCCCGUAGGGACUGCGGUAGCUGACCGGGAAGCCACAAUGAGGGCAGCAGACAGGGCUCUCCCUGUCCGCCGAGUCCUCCCAUGAACUCACGUUUCUGAAGGCCCCACUCUUUCUUGGUCAGUGUCCCAAUUUUCAUAGAAGAGACCUGAUGAGGCUGUGGAGUAACUGUGUAAAAGCUUGCAUUGUUUUCAUGACUUGACCUGACAAAGUGUCAUUAUCUUCAAAUUGUCCAGAGAAGCAGCUACUUCACUCGGGUCCUUUUUAUGGUUCUGUGGUUGCAACUUGGUCUCCCAAGCCUUCGAUGGGCGUGCCAUUCCAUGGCCACUUUUCAGUAAGAAAAUUACCUGAUUUUCUGUUAACUGUCACAGGCUGCCCCGGACUACUCUCAGUACUCAUGGGAUUUUCACGACCCUCAUCCUCAGUGAAGUUAGAUGACCAUUCCUGCCUUUCAUCCCACCGAUUUUCCUGACAUUCAAGAAUCUUCUUCUGGUAGCCGGAGCGGCAGAGAGGACAGGCAUGGAAAGGCGGCCUGUCUCCCACGGAGAACUCCUCCAGUGCGAGCAGACACGCAUGGUGGAACACGUGUGAGCAGGACAGGAGGGCCGUCUCUCGGGAACGCUGGCCGGCCCCCACGCGCUGACCGCCAGCAGGGGAGAGGGGCGCCAGGCAGAUGGAGCACUCGUGGGUCUCCCGGCGCAGAGCCUGCGGCACACGGGACAGGAGGAGGCCACGCAGGUUAGUUUCAUCACAGCAGAAAGUUACUUAAACUGAAACGAGCAUCAUGUGCCCCGAGACGUGGGUCUUCUAAACAUGCAGAAGUUUCAUUCUGUGUUAAAAUCACAUGAAUUAUAUAUAUAUACUGUUACUCCUGGGAAUGGUGGAAAGGGUCAGUAACCCACCUGUGACAAGCAAUUUUGAACAAAAAUACUUUCUAAAAUGCUGAACAUUGAUAUUUCCUUUGAAGUAAGCAAUCGAGAGGACUGUUUUUCAAAACACUUGACUCACUGCUACACCUUCCCACAUUUCCUCAUUUUAUGGUUUUUAAAGUAAGUUUUCCCCGCCUUGGCUUGAGUCAUCUCAUGGUCGUUUUCAGGCUGGAACUUUCAGGAAACCUGGGAAGGCGAUCUGUUCCCUGGUGUUUUCAUGGUUCACAAAACGGCAUCAUACCACAGGAACUUCCAGAAUUUCAAACCGAAGGGACCUUUGCCGUCACCCUAAAGCCCACGACGAAGGUCCUACUAUGGGUGCAGCGGCAGCUACGGCAGAGGUUACCCCGGGCCUGACACUCCAGGCUCCCCAAAGUGACCCCUCGACCUCCCGCCACAAACCGCUCCCCACAGCCCCCCCGGCUGCAGCUGAGUCCGCUGGUUGCCAGGCCGCCAGCCACGCCUACCUGUACCUGGAUUUUCUCCCAUUCCUCUUCUGUGAUCUCAUGGCCGUAUUUUUCUUCGAACUGCUGAAGAACACUGCGGUUUAUAGCCAAGCACCGAUCGAUCUCUGCAAAGAGCUCUUCGAUGUUGGUGUUGUAUGAGCACAGGAUUCGGUGGCUGAUUUCUGUGAACUGGGGAGGACAGAGGGAGGGGCACGCUCACACCCGAGCUUGGUGCAGGUUGCAGGGAAACGCUCUUGAGCCUGGCCAUCUAUUUUGGUAACCUUCCUCAUCUCUGUCUUCAAAGAAUACUUUUUAGGGAAACAGAUACAUGUCUAUCUUACUUAACUUACUUAACUAUAAAUCCAGAUAAUCUAUCUGGACAGAUGACCACAAGAACCCCUAUCUAAUGGGGUUCAGAAUACACUACCCCAAAAUAGGGCACCUUGGCACACUGAAUAUUUUAAGGAAAAAGUGUUCCUUCCCAAAGGAAUUUGAGAAAUGACAGCUGCAGGAGGGACCGUCUGACCUGUCCCCACCCCUGAAGUGGGUCACAGGACCCUCCUGUGAGAGGCCCCCUCGUCUCCAAAGAUGGAGGGAGCUGGGAGUAGGCUGAGCACACACAGGCCCUGCCGUGGUUCCCACCCACCACCCUCAGCUCACUCCCCUUGCACGCUUCCCCACGGCCUCCGCGUCCUCAGUCCAGCCUCGCAUAGAAAGCGCUCAGGCCUCACUGUCUCUUCAGGUCUCCACUGCCUUAGGAAGGCUUCCAUAUCAAAUGGACUUAUUAAGUAAAUCUCUUUUGUUAAGCUUUUUGUCUAAUUUACAGGGCUCUAGCUACAGAAUGUAGGAGGGUAGGGGAAAAGGGUAUAUUGUUUCCCUCCCCUGCUGUUUUCUUGGUUGUGAGCUUUGACCAUUAGCAGGAACACAUUUGAAAUUAAAAGUUGAGAGAAAAAUUUGAAUUUUGCAGGAUCAGCUCUGUCCCACGGAAACGUACUGUGAGCUACAUAUGUAAUUUUAAAAUUUCUGGCAGUCACAUUAAGUUUUUUAAAAGGCGAAAUUAAUUUUAAUAUCGUAUUUGACCCAACAUAUCCAAAAUAUUAUCACUUCAACGUUUAUUAAUUGAAUACAGUAUUUUGGUUUUCUGGUAUUUUUGUUUGGUUUGGUGGAGACAGCAUCUUGCUCUGUCACCCAGAAUGGAGUGCAUGGGGCCAUCAGUGCUUACUCAGCAUUGGCCUCCCAGGUUCAAGCCAUCCUACACUAUAAAGGUCUGAGUCAUUGCAGAGCGGUCACCAGUGUCACCUGAGGCUCGGAGAGGUAGCUCAUUCAGGGCCACACCAGCAGCUCCUUUUCAGGAAGCGUGAAGACGAAUGUAAAGCAAAGGAGAGUAAGGUGUGUGAAAGGCUGUGCCAAUGGUGACUGUCAGCCACGCUGCCUGCCCUCUUGCUUGUCCCUUCAAGGGCAGAGCUGUGGCUCACCCAGAGAUGACAUCUCCCAUUCCUCCAAGCCCAGGUGGGGCCACGUGGAAUAGUUCUUCCAGAUGGACGUGGCUCGUGUCUCUUCUGGGUGUUCUCCAGGCCUGGGGGGUGGCAGAUGAAGGACAGAGGGAGACAGUUCCCGAGCCCCACAGGCUGGCAUGUUGCCUGCAAGUCAGGACACCUGAACUGUCCUAUGAGAUGGAAGCUCCGGCUUUUAGUCACUGAAAUUCGAGGGUUCUUUGUCCAGCAGUUAGAAGUGCCCUGAUUCAGGAGUUACAUCUGCUUCAUGGAAUCGGGCUUGAAGCCCAAAGAAGGAUGAAAUGAAGAGGGCCCAUGGGGAUCUCACACAUUUAGAUGUGUGAUGGGGAAAAUGCAUUUUGGAUGCUCCAUGACUGUCCAGGUUUCAAAUAUUCUAGUCUACCGGAGACCUCAUGUUCUUUUUCUUUUUUUUAUUUAAUGUGGAGCAACCUGGCAGAAGGUCACCUGGCAGAAGGUCACCUGGCAGAAGGUCACCUGGCAGAACGUCAUGUGUAUUUAAGUCCCCAGACUUCAGAAGGUGCCUUUGAGGACAUGGAGUUCUCUUCCAAUUCUCUCCCUUCUGCAAAAAGAUCGUGAGACAGCGCAGGGUCGAGUGCUGUGGAGACUAUGAGCUGCCUUUGUCCUUGGGAUGUUAGAAGAAUGAGUAUUGUCUUUAAGGAUGAGAGAUCCUUUUGAGUAAAGAACAUUCUGUGAACACAGCAGGCGGUCCACAAGGGUUGGGGUUUGAAUGAAGGGGGUGGCUGAGGAUCUUCCAGGCACCUGUGUUUUGGGAUUAGCCAUACUUGGAAGCCCGGUGGAAGCUGCUUUUCUAUUUAUGAGUCAAAUUCUCUUUCACUCUGAAUGUAAUUAUAAUUGCCAAGCAGCUGUAUCUUAAUUUAGGGUCUUCAAUUGGUAAUGUUUCCUAAGGCUUUAAUUUUAGUUUUCUUUGUUCCUUGGCCUUUCAAAUAUCUAAUAAUAUCUAAAUAAAUUAUUGAAAGUAGAAGAGUUCUCUAUAUGUUGUAAAAGGAAAAAUUACUUGGAAAUAUAUACAGUUACCUCCAAUUGAUGCUUUGUAAUUCAGGUUUUCUGUAAAUUAUUUUUAAGUGUGAGAUACUUUCCACAUAUGCCUGAAAAGCAAGAUCUUUUCUUCCUUCAAAAUUAUACCUCAGAGAAAGGGUCACAUUCUAUCCAGACCUUGCGAAGUGUUUCAAGUUGUGCGGCAUGUUCUGAGAUGAGUUUUGAACAUAAAAGUACUAUUUGGAAUGAUUGAUAAAUUGAGUGAAAUGAUCAAUAUGAUCUGGGUGUUUAUUCUGAAAGUGGGGCCCAGAGCCGCAGCCUCAGCUCCCGGGAAUCUGAGAGAAAAGCAGAGCUUCAGGCUUUGCCCCAGGCCUGCCGAGGGCAGUCUGGGUGGGGGGCGGGGUAAGCCCUGCAAUCUGUGUUUUCCAAGCCCUCCAGGUGAUUCUGAGGCCCAUUCAGGUUGAAGAACCAGGGUCACAGAAGUUACCGAUCACAUUUUUUAAAUAUGCAGUUAUUUAACACAGCAUUAUUGAUCAUUCCUGAGGUGUUACCUCCCAACUCCAAGCAUGGAUAUCGCUGUGCGUGAGCUUUCAGAAGCCACUUGAGGAACACAGUAAGUGUGUGGGCCACAUAUACAUACAUACGUACGUUGAUAUGCAUUCAUGUUACAGUAUCACCUGUGUGUGCAUAUAUUCUGUCAUACGUGAGUGUCUCUCUCUCUCUACAGGAUGCCUGGAGGAAUCCCAGCUGUUCUGAUGUUACAUGAAUGAGUUACUUGCAGCUCAAGCUCCCUGCAGGAAGGGUGCCCUGCAGCAGCCGGGAACCACCUGAGUGGCCUCCACAUGCACCUGGACAGGCGCGCGGGCUGGGUGCUCACACCUGGGCCCCAGAGGUGCUGGUCAGCACCCCCUUUACAAAGAAGGCUCGCAAAGUACACAACUCCAAGUGCCGGUCCAUGAAAGCAGUUCACAUAGACUUUUAAUACAGUUAAGUCUAAUUUAUAUUUUAAUAUCUACUCACCCUACGUAACCAAAUAUCAUUUUUACCCUUAUUAACAAUACUUUUUUCUUCCUUAAUUUAAGAGGAAUUAAAGCAUUUCCUCAAUGAGAAAAACAAUUCCCUUUACAUGUAAUGGUGGUUAAAGACUAUUAAUAUGCAUUUUAAUCAAUCUAAAGUAAAUGAUUUUAACUUAAAUUUACCACUUCCAGGAUCCACACGGUGAAUGACAACAAUUUCUAAAGGGGCUGGGGUGAAAAGAGUUGGGGAAGUGCUGAGCUGCCAUGGAACAGGCACUGUGCUAGCCCGAGGGUCUGGAGGACAAACACUGGUUCCUUUAACAAAGAGCUCCCGUGUAGCAAGAAAAGCCCCGCUGACGAUGGAUGGAAUGCGAUGGAAUGUGAUGGAAUGCGUGCUGCUGUGGCACCGGACUCAGGAGACAUGGAGGAGGGAGGGAGGGAGGAAUUGCCGGGCUUCUUGGGAAGUCAGCCCUGGGCCGACCAGCUGGUGGGACAGGGACCUGGGAAGGAAGGAGUGAGGACACAGGCAGAGGGAUGACGCAGGGGGGCAAGACCCACAAGGGCAAGUCACUGGAGCCCAGCCCCACCCACCUCCCUCGACAGCCUCUGUCCUCUGGGAACACUCUCCCAGGUCACUCCCCACGGGCCACCCUCCUUCCUUCUUGUUCCUUCCUUUCCUGUGUGAAUCUUAGGGUCUGGCCAAACUUGUUGACUCAGUUCAGUGAAUCACUGUUAGAUAUUUCUGUUUCCCUGACUGCACAUGAAUGGCUAGUGGGAUCCAUGUGUCCAGGUACCUGGGCUGGAGGUGACCUCUCUCCUCUGAGCUCUCACAGGGCACUGCUGCUCCUUUCACACGUCAGCUGCCCAGUGUUAGCUUUUUCCCGUGUGCAUUGCUUAUCUCCUUGAAUGAGCGCCUUAGAUUCAGGGAAGCACCAAUUCAUCUUUGUAAGGCCCUUAGCAUUCAAGAAAUUUUGACUUUAGGUUUGCAACAGAUGAGAAAUGAGAGCAACUAUAUGCCUCAAAUGUACAUAUUCCAAAGGAGUGCAGCAGAAAUCCUUUUUGG